UACAGAGGGUGCGAGCGUUAAUCGGAAUUACUGGGCGUAAAGCGUGCGUAGACGGUUAUUUAAGUCGGGUGUGAAAGCCCCGGGCUCAACCUGGGAAUUGCAUUCGAGACUGAAUAGCUAGGGUACGGUAGAGGGAAGCGGAAUUUCCGGUGUAGCGGUGAAAUGCGUAGAUAUCAGGAGGAACACCUGUGGCGAAAGCGGCUCACUGGACCACAACUGACGCUGAGGCGCGAAAGCUAGGGGAGCAAACAGG
rnacentral:rRNA from 1 species